AGAGAGAGAGAGAGAGAGAGAGAGAGAGAGAGAGAGGUUAAGAUAGUGACGAAAUUCUCCUUUUCUUCCUUCUCUUCUUUUCUUUUGCUUUUUU
rnacentral:ribozyme from 12 species